AUUGAACGCUGGCGGAAUGCUUUACACAUGCAAGUCGAACGGUAGAGGGGGCAACCCCUCGAGAGUGGCGAACGGGUGAGUAAUAUAUCGGAACGUGCCCAGUCGUGGGGGAUAACGUAGUGAAAGUUACGCUAAUACCGCAUACGAUCUAAGGAUGAAAGCGGGGGAUCGCAAGACCUCGCGCGAUUGGAGCGGCCGAUAUCAGAUUAGGUAGUUGGUGGGGUAAAGGCUCACCAAGCCAACGAUCUGUAGCUGGUCUGAGAGGACGACCAGCCACACUGGAACUGAGACACGGUCCAGACUCCUACGGGAGGCAGCAGUGGGGAAUUUUGGACAAUGGACGCAAGUCUGAUCCAGCCAUUCCGCGUGCAGGAUGAAGGCCCUCGGGUUGUAAACUGCUUUUGUACGGAACGAAAAGGUCUCUCUUAAUACGGGGGGCUCAUGACGGUACCGUAAGAAUAAGCACCGGCUAACUACGUGCCAGCCGCCGCCGUAA
rnacentral:rRNA from 1 species